CCAGAGCAGCAGCCACCCUCCAUGGACGAGGACGAGCACCACAGCGACGACGGCGCCCCUCACAUGGUCGAGCUCGACGGAAGAGCGCUCGCCAUGGCCGCGUUCGUCUGCUCCGGCGUGGUGCAGCCGAGCUUGGCCAACGACGAGGUCGUGUACCUCCGCCUCGACGGCUCCUAGCGCGGGUGAACCGGUUUACAAUGCAGAGAUUGCGACAAGAAAUAACGAAGAACAACGUGUGUAUGUGUGCCAAUUACCAUGGAUAAUGCUCAAUUCUUCUGUUUCUAAAUGGCCCUUCACACUACAGGAAAGUGACAAUCAGUAAAAGUUAAGGUCAGACUUUGGAGAAGGUAAACAUGUAUUCUACAUAUGGUUACUUUUAUGUACUUUUAGAUAUAUGCAGUUUCUUGGGUGACUAAGAUGGUGUAGAGGCUCUGCCAGGAUUACUUUUAAUUUCUGCCACCAAAUAAGCUGUUACAAAAGGAGUAACAAAUGCAAUAUCUGUUCUGAUCAAGCUGAGUUCAAAAUUGACUAUAAAAACAGACAUUUACCGAUAAGGAAAUCUGAUAGGUUAUGUGUUGUUAUCGUAUAAAAUAGCAACAAGACUUCACUACUGAGAGAUAUUUAUGCCUGCAUCAUGAUAGGUCUCCUUCCAAGUUUGUUGACCUGUUUUUUCUAUCCCAAGUUUAUUGCCCUGUUUUUUUGUCCUUCCGAGGUUAUCAUUCGGUUUGUUUUGCAUGCUGAACUGGCAUAUUUAGUGGCGGGUUUGGUGCUUCUAUCACUGUGGUCUUCGAGAAUCUCAUCAUAUCUCUCUAUCCUAGGAAUUAUAUGUUCACUUCCAUGAAAAAUAACAUUUAAGAGAAACUUCAUCACAGACUAUCUUUGGUGUGAUAUUUAUAGACUGUCUCCCACAACAGAUUAUUGACAUCACAAUUCAGAGAAGCUUUGAUUUCACUAUAUUCUCCCUUUUGAAAUUAAUACUUUUUUUUCACAACAACACUACUCAUUUUAGUGGAGGAGGCAGCGACUCUGACAGUUGGAGAGUUAACAUAUUUGGUUGCAGGGCGUUAGAGGAUUUGAGUAGAAGCUGGCGAGCGGUGUCCACAGAUUGUACAGCGACCAAGCGGCGAUGAAGAAUCAAUGUGUGGAUCUAUCAUUACCAUAUGGACUAGGCCUCUGCUUCUGGUUAUUACAAGCUAGGUAGUAUUGUGACAGUGAUCGGAAACUUCUACACGACUCAUCACCAUCAUGUCCAUGCCCCAGAAUUGGGUGAGUGCUCAAGGAAGAAUUUUGUAGUUCCACUGUUGGAUUCCAAGCAGGCAAUUCAUGAUCAGC